AUUGAACGCUGGCGGCAUGCUUUACACAUGCAAGUCGAACGGUAACAGGCCUUCGGGUGCUGACGAGUGGCGAACGGGGGAGUAAUGCAUCGGAACGUGCCCAGAGGUGGGGGAUAACGCAGCGAAAGCUGUGCUAAUACCGCAUGUGAUCUGAGGAUGAAAGCGGGGGACCAGGCAGCAAUGUUUGGCCUCGCGCCUUUGGAGCGGCCGAUGUCAGAUUAGGUAGUUGGUGGGGUAAAGGCCUACCAAGCCGACGAUCUGUAGCGGGUCUGAGAGGACGACCAGCCACACUGGGACUGAGACACGGCCCAGACUCCUACGGGAGGCAGCAGUGGGGAAUUUUGGGCAAUGGGCGAAAGCCUGAUCCAGCAAUGCCGCGUGCGGGAAGAAGGCCUUCGGGUUGUAAACCGCUUUUGUACGGAACGAAAAGGCUCUGGCUAAUACCUGGGGCUGAUGACGGUACCGUAAGAAUAAGCACCGGCUAACUACGUG
rnacentral:rRNA from 1 species